GACGAACGCUGGCGGCGUGCCUAAUACAUGCAAGUUGAGCGCUGAAGGUUGGUACUUGUACCCACUGGAUGAGCAGCGCACGGGUGAGUAACGCGUGGGGAAUCUGCCUUUGAGCGGGGGACAACAUUUGGAAACGAAUGCUAAUACCGCAUAAAAACUUUAAACACAAGUUUUAAGUUUGAAAGAUGCAAUUGCAUCACUCAAAGAUGAUCCCGCGUUGUAUUAGCUAGUUGGUGAGGUAAAGGCUCACCAAGGCGAUGAUACAUAGCCGACCUGAGAGGGUGAUCGGCCACAGUGGGACUGAGACACGGCCCAAACUCCUACGGGAGGCAGCAGUAGGGAAUCUUCGGCAAGGGACGAAAGUCUGACCGAGCAACGCCGCGUGAGUGAAGAAGGUUUUCGGAUCGUAAAACUCUGUUGGUAGAGAAGAACGUUGGUGAGAGUGGAAAGCUCAUCAAGUGACGGUAACUACCCAGAAAGGGACGGCUAACUACGUG
rnacentral:rRNA from 1 species